AAAGAAAAAAAGUUGGUAUUGAUCAAUAAUGCCACAAAUCAUGGUACUGACCUGAAGAUAUUUGGAAACUCUGGUAUUGACCAAUAAUGCUGAGAUUCGUGUUACUGACCCAAAGGUUUGGAAACUCUGGUAUUGACCAGCAAUGCCAAGAAUCAUGGUACUGACAAAGAUAUUUGGAAAAGUUGGUAUUGACCAACAAUGCUGAGAAUUAUGAUAUUGACUGUCAACUGCUGAGAAAAGUUUCACAUACCCCGUAAAUAUUGGGGCUUAAUGCAUAUGUUAAGAAUUUUACAUUUUAAUACAAUGCGAAAGAUUUAAGAACUGCACCAAACUAGCUGAAGAAGCAUUCUCAACUCAGGUGAUUCUCUUCUCCUUUAAACAGGAGAAUAUAGUCUCCUGUUUAUUCAUAAAUUCAUGAUUAUUCAUAAAGCAUUAUAAUUUAUCCUGACAAGAAAGUAUGGCUCCAAGACACAGAGCCCAAAAGGAGACAGAAGGCUGGUGUAUUUCCCACUCAGUUCAUGUUUUGGUAUAAAAGCUCUUUGGACAAUAAGUGAGAGGAAUUCUUCAGGAUAUGAACUCAGAACUUCAUGAGGAACCACUGAGAAUCUCCCUCCCAAUAAAACCAGCCAGUGCCAUGUUUGCAGAGUCAUGACCAGCAGCGGCUCAACUGGGGGCAGCACAAACAGUCCUGUGCCGCUUGGUGUUCUGCCUUGGUAUUGGGAAAACACUGACAAAUAUGCUUUGCUUGACAAAUUAAAAAAAGAUAAAAAAUCAACUCUGUACAUGGAGCAAGGAGCCAAGAACUCAGGAGCAGGAGGCACAAACUGGAAGUUUUGCAAGCCACAGUGUGGUAAGGAAAGUGACAGUGGGGGAGGGUAGAAAAUGUGCAUGAGCUUGGGAAAUUACCAAGUUGCCAUCCAUGUGUGGCAGAGGUUUUACAAAAUAAAAAAUAAAAAAAAAAAAAACACUUAAUAGGUGGUGAAAGCAAGCCAGGCGGGCAGGAGCAGGAGAACUUCUGGGCCUUGGACCAUUAAGCCUUUUGGACCAGCAGGUGUGGAGCUAGGGCCUAUGCUGGGUGGCAAAUGAAGACGGAUACAAAGAAGAAAUCCUACACUAGCUCAGAAUUGAGUACAAUAAAAAGGUUAUUUAUUUAUGGGUAGACUCACAGAUCACAGUUCUCUGCUUGAACAGGGAAUAAAACUGAAUCCCAGAGCCAGAAAAGAGAGGGAGCACACUUUACAUUGGUGUUUAUACUAUUAAAGGCCACACAUGAUUGGGCGGGUAACUUAAAGGCUACUGACUGAAAGAUUUCCUAAAGCACUCUGGCAUACUUAUAUAAGAUACAAGACAGAAAUACCUCAUUUCCUGGUAAACUGUGUCUUAACAAUUGUAUCAUAAAACCACAUUAAAGAAUUUUUUUCUUAUACCAAGUAUUUUUUAUUCCUGUAUUUCCUUAUUUUCCCAAAAGAAGUUAUCUUUUGACAAAUUACACUUUAUUGUUAAAAAUAACAAGGCUAUAAGUAUAUGAACGGGUAUUAAAUAAUGGCUUAUCUAAUAAACAUUCUCAUAAUUAAAUAAAAUAAAAUAAAAAUUUUUGCCAUGGACUAGAGAGAUGUUUCAGCAGAAGCUACUCUUGUGAAAUAUAUGAGUUCAGUUCCUUGUAUCCACAUUGGGCAGCUCAAAACCACCUGUACCACAAGCUCCAGGGGAUCUGACAUCUUUACACAGGGAAAACAGACUCAAUAAAUGGUGCUAGAGAAACUAGUUCUGUUGUAUAUGAGUGCUUACAAAUGUAGUGUUGCAGGGAGGGCCUGCGUGUUUGUCCUUACUGCCCAGCUAGCUUAGCCCUGGAAAUAACUACACAGAAGCUAUAGUAAUUAAAUCACUGCUUGGCCCAUUAGCUCUAGUUUUUUAAUUGCAAAUUUUUACAUCUUAAUUUACCCCAUUCCUAUUAAUCUGUGUAUCACCAUGUGGCA